CCUACGGGAGGCAGCAGUGGGGAAUAUUGCGCAAUGGACGAAAGUCUGACGCAGCAACGCCGCGUGAGGGAUGACGGCCUUCGGGUUGUAAACCUCUUUCAGCAGGGACGAAGCGAGAGUGACGGUACCUGCAGAAGAAGGACCGGCCAACUACGUGCCAGCAGCCGCGGUAAUACGUAGGGUCCGAGCGUUGUCCGGAAUUAUUGGGCGUAAAGGGCUCGUAGGCGGUUCGUCACGUCGGGAGUGAAAACUCGGGGCUUAACCCCGAGCCUGCUUCCGAUACGGGCAGACUAGAGGUAGGCAGGGGAGAGCGGAACUCCUGGUGUAGCGGUGGAAUGCGCAGAUAUCAGGAAGAACACCGGUGGCGAAGGCGGCUCUCUGGGCCUUACCUGACGCUGAGGAGCGAAAGCGUGGGUAGCGAACAGGAUUAGAUACCCCAG
rnacentral:rRNA from 1 species